CGUAUAUUAAAGUUGUUGCAGUUAAAAAGCUCGUAGUUGGAUUUGUGGUGACAGUUGUGGUCCAUUUUUGGUACUAACGAUUGUUGCCAUCCUUGGGUGGAACCUGUGUGGCAUUAACUUGUCGUGCAGGGGAUGCCCAUCGUUUACUGUGAAAAAAUCAGCGCGUUCAAAGCAGGCUUAUGCCGUUGAAUAUAUUAGCAUGGAAUAAUGAGAUAGGACCUUGGUACUAUUUUGUUGGUUUGCGCACCGAGGUAAUGAUUAAUAGGGACAGUUGGGGG
rnacentral:rRNA from 1 species